AACGCACAUUGCGCCCCUUGGUAUUCCAUGGGGCAUGCCUGUUCGAGCGUCAUUUGUACUCUCAAGCUAUGCUUGGUGUUGGGUGCUGUCUUUUAUCAAGACUCGCCUUAAAAUCAUUGGCAGCCGGUAUAUUGGUUUAAAGCGCAGCACAUUUUGCGUCUUGAAUUUCUAUAUCAGCCCCCAUAAAAUAUUUUUAACACUUUGACCUCGGAUCAGGUAGGGAUACCCGCUGAACUUAA
rnacentral:misc_RNA from 2 species